UUAACAAGGAUCCAUUGGAGGGCAAGUCUGGUGCCAGCAGCCGCGGUAAUUCCAGCUCCAAUAGCGUAUAUUAAAGUUGUUGCGGUUAAAAAGCUCGUAGUUGGUUCUGCGUGCCGCGCUGUCGGUUCGCCGCCUGUCGGUGUAACUGGCAUGUCGCGGCAUGUCCUGUCGGUGGUGAACGGAGUCCACAAUGCUACAUAGGCUUUACAGCCGAUGUUAGCGUCGUGUGUACUUCCGUUGGCCGAUCUCUCCUACUUCGGUGCUCUUAAACGAGUGUCGAGGUAGGCCGACACGUUCACUUUGAACAAAUUAGAGUGCUUAAAGCAGGCUGAAAUAUCUGCCUGAAUAGUGGUGCAUGGAAUGAUAAAACAGGACCUCGGUUCUAUUUUGUUGGUUUUAGGAAUAUGAGGUAAUGAUCAAUGUGGACUGGCGGGGGCAUUCGUAUUGCGACGUUAGAGGUGAAAUUCUUGGNNNNNACGCACUAGAGCGAAAGCAUUUGCCAAGUAUGUCUUAAUUGAUCAAGAACGAAAGUUAGAGGUUCGAAGGCGAUCAGAUACCGCCCUAGUUCUAACCAUAAACGAUGCCAGCCAGCGAUCCGCCGAUGUUCCUUUAAUNNNNNGAGCUUCCACCCGGGAAACCAAAGCUUUUGGGUUCCGGGGGAAGUAUGGUUGCAAAGCUGAAACUUAAAGGA
rnacentral:rRNA from 1 species